UUUAUUUUGUACCAACAAGUUACAAACCGAACAAAAGAAAUAGAAAUAUAUAUGGAAAAUGGAAAUAUAUAUAUGGUUAAUGUGGAUGCAACAAAAGAGUUUUUUUUUCUAAGAACAAAAGACUUGACAUGGAGAAAGCAACAUUCACGAACACAAUACAAAGGCAUGCACCACGCCCAGUUUAUCUGAAUCCAUAACAGUGCAGUAAAGGUACAUUGUACGUCCGGUAACAAAACUAAAGCCACUCAAUGUGCUUCCACCUUUUUUUAUUCUCAACACCGGAUUAUUAAGAUUAGUCCAGUUGUUUCCUCAUAAACUCAGUAUAAGAUGCUCCCUUCAUUCCACAAUGUAGUGCACUCGUACUUCCCGAGAUCUGAGUUGAAGUAUGUGAGAUCAUAGUUAUAAAUUUCUCCGGGGUAACACAAUUACAUGAAAGGGUGCACACAGUACCCAAAGCUAUCACUACAAGUGUACAACUGAGCAUGAAGGACUGUCGGACGGGCACAUUUCUUCAGUAUGUAUAGAGUCUGUCUACCUACAAUAGUUAAGCUGCAAAAAGGAAAAUUACAAGAUGACCAGACCAGAACAAGUGUUCCACUACUAUAGAAUUCAGUAGCUUCCACACAGCGAACGAUGGAACUCAAAACAUCAGUGCAAGAUUUGCCAGCUGCAAUUAACUUAAAAAACCAGAGCAAUAGGUAACGCCAGCGCUUACUCCACUGCAGAUUUUUCAGAGAUCUAGCAAAAGGAAAACCUUCUUAUUUUAGAUUAAGGUGAAGAUGACUCCUGCAGUUCCGAUCUUAUUUUAGAUUAAGGUGAAGAUGACUCCUGCAGUUCCGACUGACUGUUAUGAACUAUUCAAGACGUCAGCUUAGAUAUCUCAAAAAUUGUAACGGCGAUGAAGCAACAAACAGAACGGAGAUGCAGCAACGCACAAGAUCAUACAACCUGUAAAAUACAGAAAUGAACUGGUCAGAACACAAUCACGGCAUGCAACAAUGCAGAUGCAAGCAAGAAACACUAAGGCAUCAUUUCUAUAAGGUAUCAUAUCCUCACAAUUACUGUAACUUGCAAAAAACUUGUAGAGUAGUUCUUUUAACAAGAACAAGUUGUGAACGCGAACCAUAGGUCUAUCCUCACAUUUGCGCAUCUCAUUUUGCAUUUGUGAUUCUGCAUCGACUACCAAGGUAACAUAAAAAGGUAUGCAAACCAGGAUAAACUAAAGCAUGUACCUGGAAAGGAAAAUCAAAUAAACAGAAAUGGGCUAGUAUACUUGUGGAGAGGUUAGACAGAAAGUCAGCAAGAACGCCCAAAUCUGGCCGAGAACGCCGGCCCCUACGCACAGUUCAGAUCUGGGCAGCCACAGGAUUCACACUGUACCACAUAACCAAAUGGCAAGCAGCAACGGGCGAGAUCGUACAACCUGCGAAAUUUAGAAAAGAACAGGUCAAAAGACAAGCACGGGAUGAACGAUGCAAAUGCAAGCAAGAAACAAUCGCGGCUCAUAGCGGUUCAGAGAAGCAAAAGAACAGCCUAUUUACCAAAGCUAGGAAGGAGGAGCACGCGACCCAAACAUCAGGACAAACGAGGAAAACAACCUAAACCGUAGAACAAACGUUAGCACAGAUGCAUUUCACCGAACAUCACGCGCGCAUUUCAUCAAACAACUUAUAGGCAAGUAGAAGGGGCGCCCACUAACCAGAACGCGAAGGACAGAAAGACCCACGGCUCGACGCAGGCGACAACGGCAAGUCGAAAGAUGCCCAACUACGUGAAAUCAGUAGAGCGAAGCAAGAAGAGAGGUGUGGGGAAAACACAAGAAGAACAGCAGCACGAACCUCAACCAACGGCGCCCAUAGAGCAAAGGAGGCCACCGCAACAGACCGCAGCAGAGGACAGUCGAAGGAAGCUAGGAGAGCCACGAGGAGAGGGUGCAGCGGGGCGGAGACAAGGAAGAAGGGCACUCAGCAGCCUGGGCAUGGCAGACGCGGGCCCACGGAGUGAGGCACGCACGUCCACCGUGCCCCGGCCGCGCGUCGGGCACAGCAG
rnacentral:lncRNA from 1 species